rnacentral:rRNA from 11 species
AUUCAUGGUAACAAUCCUCUAAAGGCAGCAGAUCCUGUGUAAUCUUGGAAGCUAAGCAGUUUUAGCCCUGGUUAGGACUUGGAUGGAUGAACACCAGGGAAUACCAGGUGCUGUAUGUG